rnacentral:lncRNA from 1 species
ACCAGGUUUCUACUCAAAGAAGUUUUAGCUGCCCAAAACAUAGGUCAUUCUGACAUGCAAUAAGGCAGUCAUACUAGAUUCUUUAAAAAGGAAAUUUAAGAGUGUUACUUUUUUAAUCUAGCAUAUGCAUGCUGAUAAACUCAUUCUAUACUUUCUAGAAACUAGAGUAGCCUUAGUAAACUAUUUUUUCUUUAUGAAGUGGCUUAUCAAGGCUCUCUCUACACUCCGAGAGACAAGUAGGUGAGGGAUUUGAAAUGUAUGGCUUCAAUGGCUCUAUCUGGACUUCAGCCUGAAUCGAAUGAAAUACUUCAUCAUUGUCUGAUGAUUCAUCUUCUUUGUCCUUUGAAACAAAAAGGAAAGUAAUUGUUUUAAUUGUUGUUAAAAUGCAAGUGAUAGGAACAACUUCAUCAUCUUAAUGCUGAAUUGUUUAUAUGUAUUAUAUAAUAUAUAAUUUAAAAUAAUACACAAUUUAAAAGAAUAAUAUCCAAAUAUUAAAAAUGAUUUAAACCAGUAGUUUCUAAUAGUGUUUGGUUCUGGAUCCCUUUCAGAAUCUGAGAAAUGCUAUAGACUGUCCACAGAAAAUUGCAUAUAGACAUACCUAUUACAUAUAUUUUCUGGUGGAUUGCUGACCUCCUGAAGUUCAUCUACAGGGUCCAGGUUAAGAAUCUCUGGCCUAAAACUUGAUUGACUCAUAACACCAAACUAACUGUCACAUUUAGCAAGCUAUUAUAACCAAAGUUUGGUCUUCCUGAGCAAUGGAAGAUCUGUAAUACAGUGGUGCAAAUAUUUCUCCCUAAUUGAGAUCUAGGACUUUAGGAAACUGUUUUCCCCUUUAAUCCAAUCAAUAUUAUCUCUUCAACUGAAAGAUUAAUAAAAAUGCAUUUUUUGUUUCCUGCUGGUGACUUAAAGCACCCACCUAUGUCUCUCAACUCUAAUAAAAUUUCAGGUAUCAUGAAGAUCUGUGACUUUGACUAUAUUAUCAAUAAUUUUCUUUUCCUUUAUAUUUUCUUCAACGACCACAUAUAAAGAUAUAAAUGCUUGUACAAUAUCCUAGAGUCAUGAGAUUGGUAACUAUUAUUUAUUGACUUUUAAAAAUUUUAGAAUGGCUUUCCACAUAUAUGUUUAAAACAAUAAAUGACAAUAAGUGUGUGCCAUGCUGGUAUCACUGAAUCUUUCAGAGAUCAAUAAAAGUCUUAUUCAUAAAUGCAAAACCCAUUAGAUCUAAUUGAUUACUAGGGUUCAUCGAGAAUAAUCAUUAGCAUUUUAGAUGAGCUAGUUUUUGCCAAAUGUCACCAUUCUAGACUUAAACCUCCCUUUUCUCCAUCUAGUUUCUUGCUCCUUAUAGUUCCCUUUUUCUCUGAGAACUAGACAUCCAUUUUCCCUUUUGGGCCUUGCUUCUCUUGCUGCUCCUACCUUUUCUCAUGUUAAACAUGUCAACAAAUUAGCAUUUGUUUAAUUGGCUCAAUGUGCACAAACUCAAAGAAUUCCUUAUCUAGAUACUCAGAUAAAAUUCAUUUGUAAUUAUUACAAUGAUUAUUAUUGGGUAAAUAGAUGUGGAUAAAAGGGUAUAAGUUAGGAUCAUCACAAUGAUUCCUUUUACACAAAUGGAUGUGGGGAGUAUUAGAAAACAACUGCUCCCCUAACCUUAUCUAACCUCAUUAAUUUGUUAUCAAGCCCAUAAUUCUUCAUUAUCAGUUUAGAAUCCACCAGAUUAAAUUCAAUAACUCCAGUAAAAUUAUAUUCACUUUUUAUUAAAGGAUUUUUGAAACAAUUACGUUUUAGUGACUGUUCUUAGAUAAAAUGGAGUUUAACACACUGUAUUCCACAUUUCAAAAGGGUACAGAUGAAACCACCCUUAUUAACUUAUAAAAUUAAUCACAGAAGAAGAGAGGGGAAGAAACAAAAAUAUACCAAGCUUGCAGCACGUUUAGCAUUAAUCUUUAGGUCAGCUUGCUCUCUGACCUCCUUCCUCAAUAGAUGUUUGUUGCCUAUUUUCCUAGACUCACGUAGACCUUGUUGCAACAUCAUCAUUCCCCUUAACUGCUCUGUAGAUAACAACUUGAACAUUAUGAAAUGUUGUUUUUCCUUUGAGAUAUUUCUUCAGGUCUUGCAUACCAGUGAAACUAUUGUCAAUCAACUGGUCUGAAGGACCCCACUGACGCCAACUGGUCUGAAGGACCCCACAAGAGGCUGACUCAUCAAAAAAUGCAGUUUCCACAUCCUGAUGAUUUCAAGGACCAUCAACCUUACCCUGACCAAUCAACAACUCCAAUUAUCCAGCACCUCACCCUCUACAAUCCCCUUAAAAACCCCAUCCCAGAACUCCUCCAGGAGAUGGAUUUGAGGGUCUCCUCCCCACCUCCUCACUCCAUGCCCUGCUGAUCAUUAAACUCUUCUGCUGCAUUCUUGAUGCAUGUGUAAUUGGUCUGUUACUAUGCAGUGGGCAUACGAA